GACGAACGCUGGCGGCGUGCUUAACACAUGCAAGUCGAACGGAAAGGCCCUGCUUUUGUGGGGUGCUCGAGUGGCGAACGGGUGAGUAGCACGUGAGUAACCUGCCCUUGACUUUGGGAUAACUUCAGGAAACUUGGGCUCAUACCGGAUAGGAGCUCCUGCUUCAUGGUGGGGGUUGGAUAGUUUCGGCGGUUGGGGAUGGACUCGCGGCUUAUCAGCUUGUUGGUGGGGUAGUGGCUUACCAAGGCUUUGACGGGUAGCCGGCCUGAGAGGGUGACCGGCCACAUUGGGACUGAGAUACGGCCCAGACUCCUACGGGAGGCAGCAGUGGGGAAUAUUGCACAAUGGGAGGAAGCCUGAUGCAGCAAAGCCGCGUGCGGGAUGACGGCCUUCGGGUUGUAAACCGCUUUCGCCUGUGACGAAGCGUGAGUGACGGUAAUGGGUAAAGAAGCACCGGCUAACUACGUG
rnacentral:rRNA from 1 species